UCUGUCUUCAGAAUUUCACAGUGGGUUCCUGGGAAGGUGGAAGCCUCUCCCUGCCUCUCUGGCAGACCUGAACUCUGUCCUCUGAUGCCUCAAGCAAUAAGAUCACAACUUUCUGCCUGGCAGACUGAGAUGGGUGAAGUGAGGAGCAGGAGGGGACCGACACGACAGAGGUGUGCAGCCUCCAGCAUCUCCUCCUUUGUGAACUGGAUCCUCCCCAAGGAGACUACGAGAUGAAAACUUCGGAGCCCGGGAGUGAGUGGCCAGCAGGUUGCAGACGUCAGGUGAUGGCCACCAGCCAGCAUGGAACACGCCCCCACAAGACACACAGCAGAGGUGCCACCUGGACCUCCCACCCUGUCAUCUCAAUGCCUUGGACCCCUGGCCAGGAUAUGUGGGGAUGGCACCCACCUGGGCACCCAGCUACUCAUCUGCUGUCUCACCAAUGAGGAGAAUGAAGAACACAGGCGGCAUGAUUGUCCACAUGGAAAAAUAAGUUUUCCUCCUCUCACUGGCCAUCUGGAGCAGCUCUAUAUGAUGGAUCUGUGAAGUGUUCCUUGAAUAUCUCUGCCCAGAGUGCAACAAUGAGGCCGCUAAUUGAACAAUUCCAACAACCCCGUGGCAUCGUGUAAGUAGGCUGUCCAUGUGUAGGGGUGGGUGCUCUGUGGAAAAGCUUCCUUUGUGAAGGAGGGUGGAUUGGGCUUAAGAUUCUACCAAUUCUAAGAGUCUGUGAUUUGCUUCUUUUUUUACAGCCUGGCUAUAUUUAGAUUUAUGAAUUAUAUUCAAGAUGGACUCACCAAUUAUUUCUUCAAUGAGUUAUUUCAUUCAAAAGUUAUUGAGAGAGGAGUUCCCAUUGUGGCUCAGUGAAUUAAGGACCCAACAUUGUCUCUGUGAGGGAUUGAUCCAUGGCCUUGCUCAGUGGGUUAAUGAUCUGGAGUUGCUGCAAGCUGUGGUGCAGGCAUAUAGCUGCAGCUGUAUUUCAACCCCUAGCCCAGGAACUUCCAUAUGAGGCAGGUACAGGCAUAAAAAGAAAAAAAAAAAAUUCAGAUAAGACCCAGAGUCUUCCAACCUAAAAGGAAAGACACCUAUAUACAAUUAAAAAAUACUACACAUCAUACUAAGAAUCAAGAAAAUAACAUAAAUGAGAAGACAAUUAGCUGACACCAACAUCUGUCAACGCAUCUGUCAAAGACUGUAAAGCAACCACUGUAAAAGUGCUUCAGAAAACAAUCACAAAUUCUCUUGAAAUGAAAUGGAAAAACAGAAAAAUGUCAGCAAAGAAAAGUUAUUUAAAAAUGGAAAGUAUUGAACUGAUGAAUACAAUAAAAGAAAUUAAAGCUCAUCCAUGGAUGAGCUAAAUUGUAGAAUGGUUAUGACCAAAGAUAGAAUCAGUGAAACUGAGAAAUAAACAAAAAAUAUCACAUGGUCUGAAGAACAGAGAAAAUAGACUGAAAAUACUCUCUACUGCAAAUGAUGACUUUAAUGCACAAAUUGGUAGCAUCAACCACAAUGCAGAGGGGUUGUUAAAUCAACUUAAGAGAACUCAUUGUUUUAAA
rnacentral:lncRNA from 1 species